GCCCCUGUAGCAUAACUGGAUAAUGCACUUUCCUAACGAAAAAGGCGAUGACGGUUCGAAUCCGCCCGGGGGCG
rnacentral:tRNA from 1 species